UAUUCAUUAUUUAUUCAUUAUUUAUUCUUUAUUUAUUCAUUAUUUAUUCAUUAUUUAUUCAUUAUUUAUUCAUUAUUUAUUCAUUUAUUUAUUCGUUUGUUUACCCAUAUAUUACGCUUUUUCCACGUUGAGCCAAAAAACUGUUCACCAGAUAUUUCGCUGUUAAGCACAGGAAAAGAUUAUUUUAAAUAUUCCUACUUGUUUAUAAAUAAGCUUUUCAGUCAAUUUAAAAAAAAAAAAAACAAAAAAAAAAAAAAAAAAAAAAAAAAAAAAAAAAAAAAAAAAAAAAAAAAAAAAAAAUAUUCAGUCAGUAAGUCAUUUUUUUUUUUUUUUAUAUAGACCUUUUUUUUUAUAUAUAGCUUUUUUUUUAUAGACCUUUUUUUUUAUAUAGACCUUUUUUUUUAUAUAGACCUUUUUUUUUUAUAUAAACUUUUUUUAUAUAGACCUUUUUUUUUAUAUAGACUUU
rnacentral:lncRNA from 1 species